UCGCGUAUGGUGUAAUGGCGAACAUUGCUGCCUCUCACAUGUAUCUGGGUUGCUCUGGUUCCACGUAUAAAAAUGGCUCGGUAGCUCGGGGUUCGAUUCCCUGUACCUGAA